AAGUUAUCUUAAAAGAUGUAAAAAUUAUAUUCAUAUAUCCUUUUUCUGAUGUUUAUCUCCACAUAUUUGCAUAGGUGUCCAAUUUUCUUGAGACAAUGCUCUUUUAUGGAUGGAUGAUCUUGCCACUUGAGACAGCUUGAUAAAGGUGUUCCAAAAUUCAUAAACCUCAUAACGAUCAUCCUUUUCCUCAAGCUGAAACAACAUGUGGUUCACUUCUUCAAGAACUUCAAGCAAGGAGGACGUUGCGUGGAUUGAAAGCUUUGGCGAGGUUGAAAGCAUUGGUAAAAGGACAAUCUGUUCAACGACAAGCAGCUACUACUUUACAAUGCAUGCAAACUCUUUCACGGUUGCAGUCUCAAGUUAGUGCGAGGAAGAUAAGAAUGUCUGAAGAGAAUCAAUCUUUUCAACGCCAAUUGCAGCAGAAACGUGAAAAUGAACUUGACAAGUUACAA